UUGUACUUUCCCCUUCUCCCCUGCCUUAUACAUUGCAGUUUUGAGAUGAAGAGAACUCUGUGUCAUGCACCUGGGAAUAGCAUCUUUCUGUGGAAGCACUCAUCUCUCACUGACAUCAUCCAAGUGCAGGAAGCAUGAAGGAGUGUUCCCUUGCUUGUAUGAAUUCAUGCAUCAGGGUGAUCAGGGUGGAACCAUCCUGUGUAGCGGAAGGCAGAGCAGAAGCUGCAGGAGCACACAGUCUCACAGAUUUACCAUUCAUCAGCUGGCAGUCCUGGUGCACACCAUUUAUGGCAAUUAAGAAGAAACACACUGCCAUCCAAACAAACCAAGAAAAAUUGUAUCAACUGAACCUUUACCUCUGGGAGGACGUGGUCACAGAGUUGCUGGAAAAGUUCAUCUGCCUCCCAGGUUAGGACAGACGUGUCCAAAUCCAAAUAAAAUGUGUUAUAAUCAUCACUUUAAAGUUAUCAGAGUGGAUUUUCCUAGCUGCAUGAAGUAACCAGUGUGAUGCCAAUCAGUGAAGGACCCAACAGCACUGUAGCAAAAGUUUAUACUACCGUGACCGCUGCAGUUUAUUCAAAUGUGAUCAAGUUGGCUGAAAUAGGAGCUAGCAUUUAGAUAACACAGGUGUGAACACCUUGAGGACAUUUAUCAUGAGCAUGGUCCAUGUUUUUUCUGGAACAACCCACAAAAAAGCCCAACAUCAAUUACAGAGGUAAGCAAUCCUUUGUAGCUGUGCAGUAACUAGGUAAGAUGUUUCUAUAGAAACAGUGUUACCAGUGCUCUUGUCCGUCAGAACAGAAAUCCCAAGCCAACUAUGCCUUGAAAUAUUCCAUGAUUUUUUUUUUUUUUUCUCAGAAGGACAUAUCUUGCUCAGGAGAGCCUAGGUCUUAUCUAACAUGUAUGCAAAGUACUUGACCUGGGAUUGCCUGGGAACAAACCCAGAACCAGAUAAUUCAGCAGAACACGGGUCCACGGGUAAGAGAUGUCUGUGCCUUCCUCACAUUCUCCAUGCUUCUUUUUCAAUUAGGUUCUGUCCUGACAAUCCACGGUCAGGCAGAAGAUCAGCUAAAACCGUUGGCAGUCGGAGGUUGGAGGUAGCCUGAGCAUUUGGCAAGCUGAAAGCAAGACAAUAACAGGUAAUAGAGGAGCCAGUGCAGAAAGAUGUGUGCUGCUGGACCUUAUGGUGACAAACAGAGAAAGUCUGGAGAUGUGAUGUGAGCAUUGGGGGAAGCCUUGACUACAACAACCACAAGAUCAAGGAGUUUGGUACCUGCAAGAAGCCGAGCAAUGAAAAGCUUACACACCUGAGCUUCAGAACAACUUUGCCCUCUUCAGGAAUCUUCUUGGAAUAAUCAUAUGGGAAUAUGCCUUAGAGAAUGAAUGAGAAAUUUAGCAAAAAAGGCAAGAGACCUGCACGGAUGAACAAGAAACUCCUAUGAAAACUCACACAUUAGCAGGAGAUACAUGAGGUGUAGGGGACGUGAUACUUCGGAUGAAUAUAGGGAAGUUAUCAGAGUAUACAGAAAUGAAAUGAGAAAGGCCGAGGCCCAUUUGGAACUAAAUAUGACUAAGGAUGUCAUGGACAACAAGAAGAACUUUUCCAAUUAAUUUUAAUAUAAAUCAAUUUCAAUGUAAUUUAAAUUAAUAACAAAAGUAAUACUAAGGAAAAUGUGGACCCACCAUUGAAUGGAACAGGAAACUGCAGCAGAACUUUCAAAGAAAGCUGAACACCUUCUUUCUUUCAGUCUUCAUUGACAAUGCCAGCCCUCAGGAGUCCCUGACCCAAAAGACCACAGAGGUCUGGAGGAAGGAUGACUUUCCAUUGUUUGAGGAGGUUCAGGCUACAGACCAUUUGGUCAAAUUUGACAUCCAGAAGUCCAUGGGCUCUGGUGGGAUUUGCCAAAGAGUGCCAAGGGAACUGGCACACACCAUUGUUAUGGCACUCUCAUCUUUGUAAGAUCAUGGCAGUCAGGAGAGAGGCCAGGGGGCUGGAAGAAAGUAAAUGUCACCCCAGUAUUCAAAAAGGGAGAGAAGGAGGAACAGGCCAGUCAGCCUCACCUGGAAGAGAAUGUUCUGGAGAUCAUUUUAAUCAUGUAGAAGACAAGAUGGUGAUCAGUAGUCAGUAUGCAUUCACCGAAGGGAAGUCAUGCUUAACCAGCCUGAUUACUUUUCAUGAUGGGACAACUGGCUGGAGACUUGGGGGGAGAGCAGUGGGUGUUGCCUACCUGGAUUUCAGAAAGGAUUUCAACAAGGUUUUCCAUGAGAUCCUCAUAGGUGAGCUCAGGGAGAGUGAGCUGAAUGAGUGGAUAGUGAGGUGGAUUGAGAACUGGCAGAGUUCAGAGGGUUGUUAUCAGUGGUACAAGUUGAAGACCUGUAACUAGUGGUGUUCCCCAAGGUUCAGUAUUGAGCCCAGUAUUGUUUAACCUAUUACGUGCCAUACGGACACAAUCCUGAGCAAUGUGCUCUAGGAUGAUUCUGCUUGAGCAGGGAGGUCGGACUGGGUGGCCUUACCCAUUCUAUGAUUCUGUAAAAAACUAGCAUGAAAUAUGUCCUUUGGUAGUUAAAACAAAAUCCUCAAUAGUUUUAAGGUAUCAGGACCUAUUUGCAAAAAUCUAAAAGGUACAUUCAUAUUCACCUUUGAAUUAUUUUAAAUUUAAAGGAAACUAUACUGUGAUAAGUUUCAUUUUAAUUGCAUCAUACAUAAAAAAACCUCACUAAUCUGCAUUUCACUUAUGUAUGAACAGUCCAAAACAGCCUUCAAUUUCUUCCAGUGUCUACUUUAAAGUCUUUCUUUCUGUAGGUUGUGUUCCAGUAUGCAUGUGAACACUAUCAUGCUCAUUGCUGGAUGCUGGAAGAUCUCAGCAAUGGAUACGGAUGAUGAUGAGGAAGAAUAACAGGUCAGGCUCACCUGUGUAUUUUCUAGAAUGGUCACUUGUUUUUCUGCAGGUGUCCUCUUGACUGCAAACAUUGUGGAGCAGAAAUAAUUUUUAGCAUAAUAACACUUCAGAUACUCCACUAGCUCUUAAUAAAAGAAAAACAAAAAAUGCAGAUAAUUAUAGCCAAAUAACAACCCGUAAAAGGAAUUAAUGAAACUUUUGUGGAUUGACUACCCUCUGGUUUUCAUUAUUUAUUCACUUUGAUGUUAAUUUGCAAAAUUCUGUAAUUCACCAUAGCUCUCCCUAUCAUUAAUGCAAAUUAACAAGUUUCUACUGUAAUGCAGUUAUUAUUAUCUUCUCUUGCAUGUAUGCACACAUUUCUUUAAUUAAAAUAUGCUGUAUUUUUAAAAAUCAGAUUACCAGGUACAAAGGAAACAGAAAAUAUGAACAAUGUACUUAGCUAUUUAGAUAAAAGCUAGGAGCAUUGAGAAUGACAGAGGUCUUUUUAUUUGUUUAAUAAAAAUUAGACAAAUGUAAGAGAAAAAUUUUAA